UCUCUCACUUUCACUGGAAAGGAUACCUCUCUCUCUCUGUCUCUCUCUCUCAGUGUAUACUGUGUCUCUCUCAGAUGCAGUUAGGUCUCUCAUUCUCAUGAAGCGCAGCUCCUCUCUGUUUCUGGAUGCACUCUAAGUCAGAGCGUAGGACGAGACAGACCGCAUCCUAAGAACUGGUUUCUUUCUUCGCAUACAGCCGGCAGUAGCAAUUCCCGGCUGUGAGCGGGGCCUUCAUGGAUUCUCCGUACAACGGCAACACGUCCUUGCAGACGUCCACGUCCAACCUCAACGCUGGCUAUUCGCGGCCCUCGGAAGCCGAGGAUGACGGCAAAGUGUCCAGUGACACCAUUUGGCUGUGGAUUGCUGUCCUGGCAACAAUUGGCAACAUAGUGGUGGUGGCUGUGGUUUGUGCCUGUGCCUUCUGACAAAGUAGAAGAGUGGAACAAAAAAAUUCUGCUGCUGUCGGACAUGGCAACUCUUGUAUAUUUUGAAAAUAUACUUUCUCUAGAAAUGUUGUAAAAUAGCCUUACUUUAAGACUGAUCCCAUGGAUUAUUUUUCUUUUAAAUAUAAGCAUCAGUUUGAAUUUUGCAGAGGAAUUUGCAUGGGAGUCUUUAUUCCCACAGCCCCGUCACCCCACUCCUUUUUCAAAACGUAAAAUCAGCGAUCAUAUUGAAAUAAUUAGCUCACAGAAUCUUUCUGUUCAUUUGUACAGUUCCACAACCACAAAAGGAAAGCAACAAUUAAGGUUGUGAUAUAUGUUGGUACAGAAGUUCACUUUAACGUAAAAUGUGACGAAAUGGCUCAUUGGCCAAACUCAGAUGACGUGCAUGUACAUCAUGUAGUUUGUUACACGAUGCAGGAACUUUUCCCUUUUUUUAAAAUUUCCAAAGUGAAAACUACAUGUUACAGUUAAAAACAGACCUUUGUUCCCUUAUGCAAUGCACAGAUUUAAAGACAUUUCUGCUGUUACCCUUGUUCUGCCUGUUUCUAGAAUGCUUCAUUUGAGAGCACUAUCAUAAUUCAUUGGUUUCCUUUGUGUGUAACCUGUUUAAUAUGCAUUAAAACCAUGGCUAUGACUCAGUUUUAA